rnacentral:lncRNA from 1 species
GGCCGCAUUCGUGCCCACUGGCCCCGGCUGCGGCAUCGAGGGCGACCCUGCACACACCCCUCCUCGCCCUGGCCAGCCGAUAAGAGGGCUAGCCUCAGUGUGGGGGUCUGUCUUCUAAAGGGGUUGUCACCCAUCCUUAUUUCUUUUAAUGCAGCUUUGGGGAAGGUGAACAGCCGCUCUGAGAUCAUUUCGCAUAACGGUCUGAACCAUCGUCUUUUAAACUGUGACCUGUGUGGGGGUGCCUGUCUCACUUUAAGGUCCUCCCUUCCCCCAGCCGUCACCCCAUUUACAGGCCAUCCUUAGUGACUUAGUGACAAGUCAACCGUGAGGGGGAAAAAACACAACUCAAUACCCACAAAGCGUUGAGACUUCUAGAAGGAGUGCAGUCACCAACCCCCGCCUUCUGUCAUUUAUCCUGACAUUUUCCAGACGGGGUUUCACCGUAUUAGCCAGGAUGGUCUCAAUCUUCUAACCUCGUGAUCUGCCCACCUCGGCCUCGCAAAGCGCUGGGAUUACAGGCGUGAGCCUCCGCGACCGGCCAGAACUAGCUCUUCUUAAGGAUGUGACAGUGAUCUGCACUAGAGCUUCAGGCAGCUAAGGAUAUCUGAAAAGGAGAGACUCUAUGGAGUGUGGAUGUAGAAAAGGAGUUAUUCCUACCGGAAAAAAAUGAACUGUGGACACAGUCACUCAAGACCAGAGAAACAACCACUAUGAGUAAGUAGCUUCAAUUUCACUGUUACCAGGAGGGCACACACCAGAAAGCCUGGGACAAAGCCUGGGCUAGAGCCCUCAGGAUUCAUUCUCAGGCUUCCUGGUGCUGUGGUUCAACAGCCUUUGUGGGGAUGGGGAGAACCAGAGACUAUCACCAUCACAUGUAAAAAAUAUUACCACAGCAACAGCUGUCAAAAACCAGCUGGAGCUGAAGUUACACACCAUUUGAAAUCCACACUGUACUUGCUUUCUUGUGAUGGGCUUGAGACAUGUGCAGAGACACCUUAAACAUGUGUAGGUGACCACCCUUUUGAAAGGCAGAGGAGGGCCUCUUCAUGAACUCUUUCUACUCAUUUGUUUUCCUAUCAGUUCACCAUUUCAACUAGAAAAGAUGC